UGGGGAAUAUUGGACAAUGGGGGAAACCCUGAUCCAGCAAUGCCGCGUGGGUGAAGAAGGCCUGCGGGUUGUAAAGCCCUUUCGGUGGGGAAGAAAUCUUGGUGGUAAAUAAUCAUCAAGUCUGACGUUACCCAAGGAAGAAGCACCGGCUAACUCUGUGCCAGCAGCCGCGGUAAUACAGAGGGUGCAAGCGUUAAUCGGAAUUACUGGGCGUAAAGAGUACGUAGGUAGUUAAAUAAGUUGGAUGUGAAAUCCUCGGGCUUAACCUGAGAACUGCAUUCAAUACUGUUUGACUAGAGUGUGGUAGAGGAAAGUGGAAUUCCUAGUGUAGCGGUGAAAUGCGUAGAUAUUAGGAGGAACAUCAGUGGCGAAGGCGACUUUCUGGACUAACACUGACACUGAGGUACGAAAGCGUGGGGAGCAAACA
rnacentral:rRNA from 1 species